UUCUUUUAUCAUCCAUUACUGUUCAUAAUGAAGUAUCUUUAUUUUUUCUAAUUAUAAAGUGAGACUGUUUCAUGGUUAAAAGAAAAAAAGGCAAACUGUAAAGAAAUAUACAAUGUAGAAAGAAUAAAAAAGAAGAACUAUACAA